rnacentral:rRNA from 1 species
UACGAAGGGGGCUAGCGUUGCUCGGAAUUACUGGGCGUAAAGGGCUCGUAGGCGGCCAACUAAGUCAGACGUGAAAUCCCUCGGCUUAACCGGGGAACUGCGUCUGAUACUGGAUGGCUUGAGAUUGGGAGAGGGAUGCGGAAUUCCAGGUGUAGCGGUGAAAUGCGUAGAUAUCUGGAGGAACACCGGUGGCGAAGGCGGCAUCCUGGACCAACACUGACACUGAGGAGCGAAAGCCAGGGGAGCAAACGGG